rnacentral:rRNA from 1 species
GGGGCAGCAUAAGUAGCAAUACUUGAUGGCGACCGGCGGACGGGUGCGUAACGCGUAUGCACCUACCUUAAACAGGGGGAUAACACUGAGAAAUUGGUACUAAUACCCCAUAUUACGGCAUCGUGAAAACUCCGGUGGUUUAAGAUGGGCAUGCGUUGUAUUAGCUGGUUGGUGAGGUAACGGCUCACCAAGGCGACGAUACAUAGGGGGACUGAGAGGUCAACCCCCACAUUGGUACUGAGACACGGACCAAACUCCUACGGGAGGCAGCAGUGAGGAAUAUUGGUCAAUGGACGCAAGUCUGAACCAGCCAUGCCGCGUGCAGGAAGACGGCUUAUGAGUUGUAAACUGCUUUUGUACGAGGGUAAAGCAUCUACGCGUAGGUGCAUGAAAGUAUCGUACGAAUAAGGAUCGGCUAACUCCGUGCCAGCAGCCGCGGUAAUACGGAGGAUCCAAGCGUUAUCCGGAUUUAUUGGGUUUAAAGGGUGCGUAGGCGGUUUUAUAAGUUAGAGGUUAAAUAUCGGAGCUUAACUCCGUUAUGCCUCUAAUACUGUAGGACUAGAGAAUAGUUGCGGUAGGCGGAAUGUAUGGUGUAGCGGUGAAAUGCUUAGAGAUCAUACAGAACACCGAUUGCGAAGGCAGCUUACCAAACUAUGACUGACGUUGAGGCACGAAAGCG